UAGAGUUUGAUCAUGGCUCAGGACGAACGCUGGCGGCGUGCCUAAUACAUGCAAGUCGAACGAACUCUGGUAUUGAUUGGUGCUUGCAUCAUGAUUUACAUUUGAGUGAGUGGCGAACUGGUGAGUAACACGUGGGAAACCUGCCCAGAAGCGGGGGAUAACACCUGGAAACAGAUGCUAAUACCGCAUAACAACUUGGACCGCAUGGUCCGAGCUUGAAAGAUGGCUUCGGCUAUCACUUUUGGAUGGUCCCGCGGCGUAUUAGCUAGAUGGUGGGGUAACGGCUCACCAUGGCAAUGAUACGUAGCCGACCUGAGAGGGUAAUCGGCCACAUUGGGACUGAGACACGGCCCAAACUCCUACGGGAGGCAGCAGUAGGGAAUCUUCCACAAUGGACGAAAGUCUGAUGGAGCAACGCCGCGUGAGUGAAGAAGGGUUUCGGCUCGUAAAACUCUGUUGUUAAAGAAGAACAUAUCUGAGAGUAACUGUUCAGGUAUUGACGGUAUUUAACCAGAAAGCCACGGCUAACUACGUGCCAGCAGCCGCGGUAAUACGUAGGUGGCAAGCGUUGUCCGGAUUUAUUGGGCGUAAAGCGAGCGCAGGCGGUUUUUUAAGUCUGAUGUGAAAGCCUUCGGCUCAACCGAAGAAGUGCAUCGGAAACUGGGAAACUUGAGUGCAGAAGAGGACAGUGGAACUCCAUGUGUAGCGGUGAAAUGCGUAGAUAUAUGGAAGAACACCAGUGGCGAAGGCGGCUGUCUGGUCUGUAACUGACGCUGAGGCUCGAAAGUAUGGGUAGCAAACAGGAUUAGAUACCCUGGUAGUCCAUACCGUAAACGAUGAAUGCUAAGUGUUGGAGGGUUUCCGCCCUUCAGUGCUGCAGCUAACGCAUUAAGCAUUCCGCCUGGGGAGUACGGCCGCAAGGCUGAAACUCAAAGGAAUUGACGGGGGCCCGCACAAGCGGUGGAGCAUGUGGUUUAAUUCGAAGCUACGCGAAGAACCUUACCAGGUCUUGACAUACUAUGCAAAUCUAAGAGAUUAGACGUUCCCUUCGGGGACAUGGAUACAGGUGGUGCAUGGUUGUCGUCAGCUCGUGUCGUGAGAUGUUGGGUUAAGUCCCGCAACGAGCGCAACCCUUAUUAUCAGUUGCCAGCAUUAAGUUGGGCACUCUGGUGAGACUGCCGGUGACAAACCGGAGGAAGGUGGGGAUGACGUCAAAUCAUCAUGCCCCUUAUGACCUGGGCUACACACGUGCUACAAUGGAUGGUACAACGAGUUGCGAACUCGCGAGAGUAAGCUAAUCUCUUAAAGCCAUUCUCAGUUCGGAUUGUAGGCUGCAACUCGCCUACAUGAAGUCGGAAUCGCUAGUAAUCGCGGAUCAGCAUGCCGCGGUGAAUACGUUCCCGGGCCUUGUACACACCGCCCGUCACACCAUGAGAGUUUGUAACACCCAAAGUCGGUGGGGUAACCUUUUAGGAACCAGCCGCCUAAGGUGGGACAGAUGAUUAGGGUGAAGUCGUAACAAGGUAGCCGUAGGAGAACCUGCGGUUGGA
rnacentral:rRNA from 2 species